UUGCGAUUUUGAUUUUCGCGGAAGCGCGAGCGAUCACUCGUCUGCUCACGGGUUCGCGUUCACACGGUGUGGAGGGAAAGAGGGAGGAGGGCACGGGCGGGCGGCGGACCCGCGGCCUGGAAACCGACGAUUACACCGCCGCGCCCGGCCCCCCGUAUUCGAUAAUGAUCCUUCCGCAGGUUCACCUACGGAAA
rnacentral:misc_RNA from 1 species